CAAUUUUUCGUUUCUCACAGGCUUUCUCUUCUGCAACGCCGAGACUCCGCCCUUCAAUCCCAACGUCCUUUACCGCCACCGUCCAAACCACGCUUCAACACCACCAUCAAAGCUCCCACUUAGGGUUGGAUUUAGAUUGGUUGGGUAUCGAUGAUUUUGAGGUGGAGCAUGAGGUCCGACCCGAUUUCCCAUGUCCGUAUUGCUACAAGGACUUUGAUAUCGUGUCAUUUUGUUCGCAUCUAAAAGACGAGCACUUGGGCGAAUCCAAAGUCACUCUGUGGAUUUCUUCAACCAAGUGAAUUUACAGAAUGGUACCCUCACAGAAUUCUGUACUAAUAAGAAUUGUCCUAUAGUGACUGCAGGCCCCAAAUAAAAUAGUAUCACCACCUGGAAAAUCCGAGGAGCAAGUUGAAAGAGGAUCACACUCAAAGUCAACAGCCCCCGCGCUAUCCGAGAAGCAAGUUUUACAUAAUUCUCAUUCUUUAAUUAUGUAAAACUUCCCAGUAAUCACCAACUAUAAACAAUAAUUAUGUCUCAUUUCCUUUACUAUUUAAAACUAUAUAGAAUGAAUUAUGUCACAAUUCCUUAACUACUAAUUAUUUUAUACCAGACUUGUAGCUCUCAGCCACACAUUUGAAUCUUAUUCAACCACAUGAAGUUUCUCAUCAAUUGCCUUAGCCCUAUGGGAAAAGCUUAGGAAUAUUGAUGCAAUUGGGACUAUAAAAAGGGAUGUAAUAGAGAGGAACAUGCACUGAGUGAAAUUAAGCUGUGUGAAGAUCUAAAGAAAAAAAAAAAAAAAACAGUGCUUUGUUCAGAGUGGAGGUCUUGUUGCGAUCAUGGCUUCACUGGGUUUCUAGAGAGGUAUUAUUGUAUUUUUCAAAUUUAUUGUGAACUUAAGUUUUGGACAUA